CAGAUGCUGGCUCUGAAAGAUUGGCGGGGAUGGAUGGCCGUGGGGGGGCCGGGCUUUAGGGCACCGUCACCCCCUUCGUUAUCAGGCAUUACCUGCCCACAGUCAGCCCCGAAAUCACUGCUGGCUGUGAGGAAACUGAUUUAAACAGGAAACAUACGCAUAAUGGAACGUGCCGAAUGGUAGCAAUUGCUAAAUCGUUUGUAUCUGUGCAGAGGGAGUGCAAAACGGAGCAGGUCUGGGCUUGCUUUGCAAAGUGCAAUCACUGAUAAACGAUUGGGCAAGAGAUGUGAUCAGAAACUGUGAACUUGAGGAAAAACGGCGUUUUGAUGUGCAGAAAUCAGACUCUAUAACCUCGGAAUGGUUAUAAAGCAGGUAUACAUUUAUGCUCACAGCAUGGGACAGCUCUCGUAAAGGUACUUCUCUGUCCAUCAGUCUCUCCUGCCAACUCUGGUGGGAGUGUCAAGAUGUGGCAAGAGGGAUUUCCUAUUCCUAAUUUGACCUGGUGUACACCAGCUUUCCUAGUAGAUUGCUGAGGAGGCAGCAGUAUCAAAGCCCUUGCUAAUGAAGAUGUAACAACUUCGGGGAGGCUCUGGACUUUGGUUAUGAUGCUGCUCCCUGGUUGUGACCCAAGACUCAAAUUUUGAAUGAAGCAAACCAGGCUAGAAGAAAACUGUAUGUCCUGAAACCACUUGGCUAGCCAAGCUGAAUCAUUGCAAAUGGAAGUAGUGGAACUCCUUCACAACCGGGCUGCUGCUUCUAAGCAGAAUUGCAAUGGAGGUGGGGACAUAGCAAGAGGAGCUGUCCAAGCCAGAGCGGAAUUGAAAGGCACCUGCCUGAGCCCCAGAAAAAAGUCAGCAAUUCCCAGGUGGAGACUGUCGCUUGGCGAGUAACACAGAGCUGGGACGCUUCUGAUUCCAGCUGCUGGAUUUCCAUCAAUCAGCCAGGGCUCUAAGCUAGGAGAACGACGGAAGCGAUUGCAAGUGAUGCUUCUCCCUCUUCUGCACUGAAAUGUGUGAAAGAAAGGAGAAGAGAGGAGCAGAAGAGAGGAG